GACGAACGCUGGCGGCGUGCUUAACACAUGCAAGUCGAACGGAAAGGCCCCUUCGGGGGUACUCGAGUGGCGAACGGGUGAGUAACACGUGCGUAACCUGCCCUUGACUUCAGGAUAACUUCAGGAAACUGGGGCUAAUACCGGAUAGGAAUCCUUGCUGCAUGGUGGGGGUUGGAAAGCUUCGGCGGGUUUGGAUGGACUCGCGGCUUAUCAGCUUGUUGGUGGGGUAGUGGCUUACCAAGGCUUUGACGGGUAGCCGGCCUGCGAGGGCGACCGGCCACAUUGGGACUGAGAUACGGCCCAGACUCCUACGGGAGGCAGCAGUGGGGAAGAUUGCACAAUGGGCGGAAGCCUGAUGCAGCAACGCCGCGUGCGGGAUGACGGCCUUCGGGUUGUAAACCGCUUUCAGCAGGGGCGAAGCUUGUGGUGACGGUACCUGCAGAAGAAGCACCGGCUAACUACGUG
rnacentral:rRNA from 1 species